AGCAGUCAGGGCAGCUGCUUUGCAGAAGGCCAUGUGCCCUGUGUGAGUUGGGAUACGCUGAGCCCAGGAGCAGAAAGCAGGCUGUUUUGCCUAACCCUGAGGCAUUUUGCUGCAGCAGCUAGGAGCCCCCGUCCUAGGCGAUGUUUGCAGAACACAGAGAUGACCCCUACCCAGAAGAUCUCACAAUCUAAGUAGCCUUAAGCAGGUAUAAUGAUUACAACUCGGAGCAUUUCCUACUGAAGUCGACGGUACAGCUCUCAGGACUUGGAAGUAUUUGCAGGAUUGGACUAACCCGGCACUUAUGUCUGUGCCUUUAUGGUAAAAUCCAGAGCACUGUUCAACUCUCAUUGACUACAAAGGCCAAACCCACUGCUUCUAUUUGCAAACAGAUGCAUUUAAGGGCCUGUUCUGGGAGGUGCAGAGUGCCUUCCAAUGGAGUCACAUGGGGGAGGGAUAGCUCAGUGGUUUGGGCAUUGGCCUGCUAAACCCAGGCUUGUGAGUUCAAUCCUUGAG